rnacentral:rRNA from 1 species
CGACUCUCGGCAACGGAUAUCUCGGCUCUCGCAUCGAUGAAGAACGUAGCGAAAUGCGAUACGUGGUGUGAAUUGCAGAAUUCCGUGAAUCAUCGAGUUUUUGAACGCAAGUUGCGCCCAAAGCCAUUUGGUUGAGGGCACGCCUGCUUGGGCGUCACGC